rnacentral:piRNA from 1 species
UGUGCACACACACGUACGAUGAAACGAAU